rnacentral:rRNA from 1 species
UACGAAGGGGGCUAGCGUUGUUCGGAUUUACUGGGCGUAAAGCGCACGUAGGCGGAUCGUUAAGUCGGGGGUGAAAUCCUGGAGCUCAACUCCAGAACUGCCUUCGAUACUGGCGAUCUUGAGUCCGGAAGAGGUGAGUGGAACUCCCUAGUGUAGAGGUGGAAUUCGUAGAUAUUAGGAAGAACACCAGUGGCGAAGGCGGCUCACUGGUCCGGUACUGACGCUGAGGUGCGAAAGCGUGGGGAGCAAACAGG